rnacentral:rRNA from 1 species
AUUGAACGCUGGCGGCAGGCCUAACACAUGCAAGUCGAACGAGUGGCGGACGGGUGAGCAAGGUAGGGGAAACUGCCUGACGGAGGGGGAUAACUACUGGAAAAGGUAGCUAAUACCGCAUACCAUCGGAUGUGCCCAGACGGGAUUAGCUAGUAGGUGGGGUAAAGGCUCACCUAGGCGACGCUCCCUAGCUGGUCUGAGAGGAUGACCAGCCACACUGGAACUGAGACACGGUCCAGACUCCUACGGGAGGCAGCAGUGGGGAAUAUUGCGCAAUGGGCGCAAGCCUGAUGCAGCCAUGCCGCGUGUAUGAAGAAGGCCUUCGGGUUGUAAAGUUCUUUCAGCGGAGAGGCGUUACCCACAGAGGAAGCACCGGCUAACUCCGUGCCAGCAGCCGCGGUAAUUC